CAACAAGCAUGGAAUAACUUGUUAAUAGUUGUAACAAGCUUGUUGAUAUUAUCAGACUUGUUGCAAGGUUGUUUCACCAAGUCCGAUACAGUCAUGAUAUAACAAUACUGUUACAACCUUGUGUCGUCAACCUUGUAACAUUCUUGUUAUAUCAUGACUGUUCAGACUUGUUAGAACAACCUUGUAACAAGUCUGAUAAUACCAUCAAGCUUGUUACAAACUUGUUACAACAGUUUGUUCCAAACUUGUUG
rnacentral:miRNA from 1 species